ensembl:snRNA U6 U6 spliceosomal RNA
GUGCUUGCUUCAGCAGCACAUAUACUAAAAAUUGGAACGAUACAGAGAUUAGCAUGGCCCCUUUGUAAGUAUGACAUGCAAAUUUGUGAAGCGUCCCAUAUUUUU